rnacentral:rRNA from 1 species
UACGUAGGGGGCAAGCGUUGUCCGGAUUUAUUGGGCGUAAAGCGCGCAGGCGGUUCUUUAAGUCUGGUGUCUAAGUGCGGGGCUCAACCCCGUGAUGCACCGGAAACUGGGGAACUUGAGUGCAGAAGAGGAGAGCGGAAUUCCACGUGUAGCGGUGAAAUGCGUAGAGAUGUGGAGGAACACCGAUGGCGAAGGCAGCCCCCUGGGAUAACACUGACGCCUCAGGCACGAAAGCGUGGGGAGCAAACAGG